CUCUUCGAUGUCAUAUGGGUGGCGUGUUCAUCAGGAGAGACAUAAAAUGUCGUUUUGAGUUGUUUGAUUAUUCGUUGCUCACUUAUUCAUAAUAAACCAUGUAUAUAAACUAUAAUAGUGCUUUGAAUGCAUUGGCACAAGAAACCAAGAAGCUUCUUCACUAAGUUGUAAAUUUCUUAGAAUAAAUAAAACAUUGAACUGGCAUGAUAUUUUACGAAGAAAAGGAAACGAAAUGAAUCAAAAAUGUAACUAAUGGAGGUUUGUUUCAUAUUUACUCUAAACUAAGUUUGCAUAUUAUCAUAUCAAUUGAGUGUUUUUAAAAGUGCAAUUACAUUAUAUUUGUUCAGGUUUAUAAGUCAAUGUUUGUUGGAAUUAUUUCCUGAUGUUUCAUUAGCAAAAGUGACUAUCAUCUUCAGAGGUCUGGUUUGAUUUGUAUCUCUUUGAUAUCUGAUUGACAACUUAGACUUUUUGUUAACACAUAAUUCUAAGAUACACAACUGCUUGCGUCAACAAUUGUAUAUCAUAACAGAAUGAUUAAGGAAACAAUUGAAAUUCAUAAACACAAAAACAACUUCAAUGGAAAAGAAGAAACAUUGAAACUUGAUAAAAUAUGGACACCAGUGUUUGGAAAGACUAAAAUUGCUAAGCAGACGAGAAUGGUAAAUAAUCAGAAUGAAAUUUCUUGAACAACAAAAUUCUUCACUUACAAUGAGCAUUUAAUGAAGAAACUAAAAUUCUUUCCACCAAAUUGUAAGUUCCUUAGGACAGAUGAGAUUAAACUGGCAUGAAAUUUUAUGAAGAAAGAAAACGAAACGAAUUAGAAACGUAAAUAUAAAAGGUU